AAAAACAAAAAAAAAAAAAAAAAAAAACCACUGGAUCCUGAACUGGGGUGGGAGGAAGAGUUCUCACCCAUUCAGCAUCAAAUAUCGAGUAAGCACAGUGUGUCCAGGAGGCAACAACAAUGUGAAGAGAACUUUUAAAGAGGAUGCAUUUAUUUAUAGUGCAAUUAAAUGUUCUUUUGAAGUUACAUGUGUAGAGGCCACAGAGCUGGGUCAUUGGUUGAGAACACUGGCUGCUCUUGCAGAGGACCUGCGUUUGGUUCCCAGCACCCACAUAGUGGCUCACAGCCAUCUGUAACUCCAGUUCCAAGAGCUCAGAUGCCCAAUUCUGAACUCUACAAGCACCAGGCACCAGGUACACGCGCGCGCGCGCGCACGCGCACACGCACACGCACACACACACACACACACACACACACACACACGAAAAACAAAACUAAGUAAAAAUAAUUUCAAGUGUAUUAUUUUUAAAAGACCGGAGGCAAAUUAAUCAAACGUGGUUUUUGAGAGGGAGUUUUCUAAGUAGGGGGAUUCUAGCCGUGGGUGGGGUGUCAGGAGGCUCAAUUUCCAGGCCAGCUCUCCCUCUCUCUUGCUGGGUGACUGUGAAAAUCUUCCACUUCAUACAGGGAACCAGGCACUCUCCCACUCAGACAUUACUUGAGAAUAAUCAGGACCAGGUGCUUAUGGGCAGUUUUAUUUGCACAGUUGGUACUGGCCACCCCUGUGUAGGCCCAGCUAGCCAAGCCUUCACCCCAGCCUGGGCCUCUCUCUCUUUCCUAACCUGGGAGGAAGCAGCCCCCAAACCCCCCACCCAUCUGUGGGCUCUGAUCUCAAAUUAGAAUUCCACCUCUUUCCUCUGCCUGAGUAUGAAUCAUGAAAAAGCCGCCUACACCAUCAGCUGCAGCCCCAGAAACAAAGAAGCUUUGGGCAGUGAUUGUCUGGACAGCCACCCUAGCCCCAGAGUGUCAUAGGGAAAGGAGGGGACCAAACAGGACAGGUGGCAUGUGUGUCACAGGUCUCUUCUUAUACCAGGUCUCCACAACUCCCUGGGUGGGUGACAAUGUGCUCUGUAUCACAGGGAGGAGGUGUCAAGGGAGGCUUAGUCCUCAGUGGGAUACUGGCUCAGGGUGGGAUGGGUUCUCCCUAGUGCUGAUGGUGAUUGUCAGCUGUCAAUCACAGUUGGGUCUCAUCCCCAUCGCUGUCCACACCACCUUAGCUUAGUGGUACCAGGAGUUUAAACCCAUUUCUGAUUGAGUCAAUGGGAAGCCUGCUCCUCCCCUGAGGAAAAUUCAGUCACAGCUGAUUCUCAGGCCUCUUUGUUCUCAGGCCUCAGUCCUCUCUGCCCCUACCCCCACCACACCCCCUCAGAAGCCCACAGAUCCAGAACGUUCUGUGAUCUUUCAAUGGUGGCUGUAACUCAGGUUCUUAGGAGAAGUGACUUCUUCAACAGGAUAGGGCAUAAACCACACUGGUGCCCCUGUCCCCCCUUGCUAAGCCACCCCCAGCCACCAGCUGCUGUUUCCUUUCACAAUGUUCCUACUUGGUCAACCGAAUUCACCCCUUUCCCUCAGCCUGCACCUCAUUUCUGCCCCCUUUAUUUUAUUUUAUUUUUAAUCAUAAAGUAGAAGAAAUUAUGCUCAUUCUUCCAUCUGACUUUAGCUUGUCAGGCACACAGUCAAGAUAAACAAUUGUUGGUUUUCAAGACAGGGUUUCUCUGUACAAUCACAGCUGGCCUGGAACUUGCUCUGUAGACCAGGCUGGCCUCAGACUCAGAGAUCCACCUGCCUCUGCCUCCCAAGUGCUGGAACUAAAGGUGUGCGCCACCACCGCCUGGCAGAAAGAAAUUUCUUAUCAAUGCUGUUACCUUCUUUUCUCAUGGCAGUCUUAUGUUCUAAUACUAAGAGCCCCAUGGCUGGGAGUAAAGCUUGCUUGUAGAGGGCUUGCCUGGCACAGAUGAGGCUCUGGAGUCCACCCCUGGUACAGAGAGAAAGAGGAAGAAGGAAGGGAAUUGAGAAAGAAUGAAAGAGAGAGAAAAAGACUAGGACAACAAAUGAAAGAAUCCUAUAGUUGUUUGUGUGGUCACCCACGCAUCUAAAUGCAUCAGAUUUCCCUGGGAAAAUGUGUUCUGACAGGGUCUUGGAAAACAUGGAAAUUGAAAGUUGUGCCCUGUCUCCAUCUUUAGAAUGUUCAAAUUAUGUUGGGUAGCCAUCUUAAUUUUUUUUUUUCUAGAACAGUGAUUCUCAACCUGUGGGCUGAGACCCCUUUGGGAGUCAAAUGACCCUUUCACAGGGGUCCCACAUCAGAUAUCUUGAAAAUCAGAUAUUUACAUUGAUUCAUAACAGUAGCAAAAUUAUAGUUCUGAAGUAGCAAUGAAAUAUUUUGUGGCUGGGGUCGGCACAACAUUAGGAACUGUAUUAAAAGGUCUCAGCAUUGGGAAGGUUGACAGCCACUGUUGUAGAUGGCCUGGAGCUCACUAGUUGCCCAGGAUGGUCUGAACUCACAGAAAUCCUCCUGUCUCAGCUCCCACAAAGUGUGGGCCACCAUACCUGGCUCUCUUGACUUCAUCUGCCAUGGAGGAUGUGCCGUUGUGUAAUAGACACCAGUAAAUACCCCACACAGCUACAUCCUAGCCUGCCUUCAUCCUGGGCAACUGUGGGGAGUCAAGUGUGCCCUGUGCUCUCUACAGUGCAGGAGCACAGUGAGAGGAUUGUCACUGCAUCACUUAAUUAAUCUGGUUCUAAAGAGAUCAAACUCCAGUCCUGAAUCUCUCCGACUGUCUUCUGCCAGAGCCAGGCCUUCCCGUGCACACCGCCGCUCCUGCACACUGCUCUAGGGACCUGAGCAGUUAAUCCAGUUGGGCCCGUCAAUCACUUAGCUAAAAGACCAUCACUCAGGGAAGCCAAUUCACAGAGGCCAAGCCAAGAUGGGCGGAGUAACUAUCCCCUUCAUGAGGCCCCCCUGGCCAGCAGAACUGAGGAGAGCUUGCCCAGCAAGGGGGACCGUGGCCUCAGCAAAGCCCUGCACUCUGUUGGACCCUUCCUGUCCCUCAGGUUUUGGGAGGGGGGUGGUCCUUGAUCUUGAAUCCAGACUGCUAGGGUCUGCGGGUGGCCUGGCUUCAAAGUGAGAACGCCUUAUGAUUUGCAAGUGUGCCAGCCCGGGACUCUUUCCUGGCCCCUCAGCAGGGCCUCUCUCUGAGGGGGUGUGUGAGAAGGGGCUAUGGUCAAGGUUGUCCUCAAGGGGGGCAUAAACUGCGCAUGGUGUGUUCAGUGGUGAGAUCCCAGAGCAAACGGGCAAACCAAAUGUUUGAUGUUGGGUGAGGGGCGUGAAUAAAAUGUUACCAAGACACAUGUGGUACCUGGUACUGUUUAGGUAAAGACACCCACAUAAGAACAACACAGCAUGCUUUGUGUAGGCUGGUGUGUAAAUAAAGGAGUAGGAAGGUCUAUGUUCCUUUAAGAUUGGGCAUAGACAUCAAAUCCAUUGUUAUAGGAGGAUGGUGUUGUAGACUAUGUUCCUGCUUGUGGCCUCAACAAAGCAGGCUAAAAAUCAAAAUGGAGUCAGGAUAAAAGGCAAACCUAAGCGAUGCUAUUAUACCACUCUCAGAGAAAUCAAGGUGGGAGAGACAAAAGCCACUGCUCUCAAACAAUGAAAAUAAAAUGGAAUGAAAAUAAAAUUCACGGGCUCGAGAGAUGGCUCAGAGGUUAAGAGCACUGGCUGCUGCUCUUCCAG